UGUGUGUGUGUGUGUGUGUGUGUGUGUGUGUGUGUGUGUGUGUGUGUGUGUGUGUGUGUGUGUGUGUGUGUGUGUGUGUGUGUGUGUGUGUGUGUGUGUGUGUGGAGCAGGGCUGUAUUUGUUUGCAGGAAACGCCACCACUUUCUUUAUGGAGCAGCAGCACACAUAUUGCUGACGGUGCUCGUAUCCCCCUCCCCCCCCCCCUGCCAUAACUCUGCUGUCUCCCGUAAAACCUUGAAACAACAAUCAAUAAGAUCCGCGGUGGGGUCUGGGAUCAGGGAUCAUCGAGGUGUACGUCUGGGAGAAAUCCUUCGCUGGUAAAAACAUGAAAGGCAUUCUUGUUGAAUUGAAGAGAUUUGAGAAGUGAGCCAAGGACUACAAACCAAAACCUACAGCAUAAAAAAGGACAGCCCGAGGGCCCGCUACAUACCUACAUAACCAUGAUUUUAGUUUUCAUUCACACUUAAUGUUACAGUUGGUAGAUUAACUUUAACAAAUGUGGUCCAGAUUUACACAAGUACUAAAGGUCAUGUAAUUAUCCACUACGUUACAGUUGUAAGUUACAUCUUAAGAACUGUGCUUUUAUUGUGAAGGAUCGGGCUCUGCUUUUUGCUUUUUUUAUAUAUGCAAGCUUCACUGUCUGCAUUGAGUCUCUGCUCUUUAAAUAUGUGGCAAAUGGUCCUUGCAUUUAGAUGGCAUGUGUUCCUGCAAAUAUAUGCAGCAGCACACUUAAGUGUGACCGUUGUGCGCCUACUAUGCAUUUUUUCACGCACGCCUGUAUUGAUUUGCAUUGAUCACAUGCAACUUUUUGCCAUUAUUAUUGUAAUUAAUAUUAUUAUGUCAAUAUGAUCCCUCAAGGAUGUUUUACAAGCUUUGUGUUUUAUGCUGCUCAAAAACUGUGUUAAAAUAGGCCACAAGACUGCUGCUUUAUUUUAUUCUCUAUGCCUCAUUUCUAUAUUCAUACGCUGUGUUAACAAGCCCUAAAAACCUGCAUUUGUCAAAUAAAGUUUAAGA